rnacentral:rRNA from 1 species
GACGAACGCUGGCGGCGUGCUUAACACAUGCAAGUCGAACGAAGAGCGAUGGAAGCUUGCUUCUAUCAAUCUUAGUGGCGAACGGGUGAGUAACGCGUAAUCAACCUGCCCUUCAGAGGGGGACAACAGUUGGAAACGACUGCUAAUACCGCAUACGAUCUAACCUCGGCAUCGAGGAUAGAUGAAAGGUGGCCUCUACAUGUAAGCUAUCACUGAAGGAGGGGAUUGCGUCUGAUUAGCUAGUUGGAGGGGUGACGGCCCACCAAGGCGAUGAUCAGUAGCUGGUCUGAGAGGAUGAACGGCCACAUUGGGACUGAGACACGGCCCAGACUCCUACGGGAGGCAGCAGUGGGGAAUCUUCCGCAAUGGACGAAAGUCUGACGGAGCAACGCCGCGUGAGUGAUGACGGCCUUCGGGUUGUAAAGCUCUGUUAAUCGGGACGAAAGGCCUUCUUGCGAAUAGUGAGAAGGAUUGACGGUACCGGAAUAGAAAGCCACGGCUAACUACGUG